CAGAGAGACUCUACUACUGCUGUGUGGUGGGAGAAAAUUUAUGGACAGAAAAAGGAAAGUGAUGUACAGAAAAUAGGAGGGAGGUACAGAAACAGUUGGAUUGGUUAAAGUUCGGGUGUUUACCUUACUUGAACACAGUUUGAACAGUUGGCCACCUGUGAAUGGUUGAAGUAUGGCUGCUGUGAUUGGCUGAGACUCAGCUCCUGUUACAAGAGUGGGUUACAGUUUGUUUACACAUCCAGUGAGGUUACAGUUCACUAGGUAUGGAGGAGCCUUAGGCCAAACUUAAAAUAUGUAAGAGGCAGCUUUAUGCUAAACUUGACAAAAGAAAGCCUCAGAGUGGGAAAGUCAACCUAAGAGAGAAACCGUUUAUUUUGUGGGUAAUGCUGAGUGCCCAUUUGAGUGGAGACCUAAAAACCAGACUCUGAGCAGUAGCAUGAACCAAAUGUUGUCCUAGACCUGAAGUUUGGCCAUAUCCCAUUGUAAGCAUUGACAUCACCACCUACCUCUCAGAGACAGUUAACAGGCCUGAGGUAUGAUGAGAAAAGAGAGCAACCAGACACAACAACUAACCAGCAUUCCUUCCUGAUAAUAGACCACUGACCUUGGAGUGGCUCUGGCCAGUCUACAAAGGAUGCACACUGAGUACCUUAGUGUCCUCUGCUUCACCUUUUGACAUCAGAGGGCAGAAAACUCCACCCAUGCCUCCAGGCUUCCAUGAAGAGGCAUGAAGCUCAGUUUCCGCUUUCAUAAAUAUUUAUGACUCCUCCUGUAGCUAUUAAAUAAUGUAUAUUUGA